UACGUAGGGGGCAAGCGUUGUCCGGAUUUAUUGGGCGUAAAAGGCUUGUAGGUGGCCACGCCAAGUCGGAUGUGAAAUCUCCCGGCUCAACUGGGAGGGGUCAUUCGAUACUGGCGGGCUCGAGGCCGGUAGGGGGAAGUGGAAUUCCCGGUGUAGUGGUGGAAUGCGUAGAUAUCGGGAGGAACACCAGUGGCGAAGGCGGCUUCCUGGACCAACACUGACGCUGAGGAGCGAAAGCCAGGGGAGCCAAAGCGGG
rnacentral:rRNA from 1 species